CCUACGGGAGGCAGCAGUGGGGAAUAUUGCACAAUGGGGGAAACCCUGAUGCAGCGACGUCGCGUGAGUGAUGAAGUAUUUCGGUAUGUAAAGCUCUAUCAGCCGGGAAGCAAAUGACGGUACGUGACUCAGACGCCCCGGCUAACUACGUGCCCGCAGCCGCGGGAAUACGUAGGGGGCAGGCGUUAUCCGGAUUUUCUGGGGGUAAAGGGAGCGUAGUCGGGGGUGCAAGGCAGAUGUGAAAGCCCGGGGGUCAACCCCGGGACUGCAGUUGGAACUGGGCGGCUAGAGUGGCGGAGAGGCAGGCGGAAUGCGUAGUGUAGCGGUGAAAUGCGUAGAUAUUGGGAGGAACACC
rnacentral:rRNA from 1 species